AUUGGGUUGGCCAAAAAGUUCAUUUGGGUUUUUCAGUAAGAUGCUAUGGAGAAACCAGAAUGAACUUUUUGGCCAAGCCAAU
rnacentral:miRNA from 1 species